rnacentral:misc_RNA from 1 species
CAGUGCCUGUGGGACAUCCUCCAAGGGGGUGCCCCGCGCCUGGCCACCCGUGUCUCCUUAACCUCAGUUGCUUCGGCGGGCCCGUCCACCAGGACCGCCGGGGGAGCGUACCCACGCGCCCCUGGCCAGCGCCCGCCGGGGGACCCCUAGAACUCGUGUGAAGCAGUGUCGUCUGAGUGGAUUGUGUAAAUGAAAAUA